rnacentral:rRNA from 1 species
CAGCCGCCGCGGGAAUACGUAGGUGGCAAGCGUUGUCCGGAAUUAUUGGGCGUAAAGCGCGCGCAGGUGGUUUAAUAAGUCUGAUGUGAAAGCCCACGGCUCAACCGUGGAGGGUCAUUGGAAACUGUUAAACUUGAGUGCAGGAGAGAAAAGUGGAAUUCCUAGUGUAGCGGUGAAAUGCGUAGAGAUUAGGAGGAACACCAGUGGCGAAGGCGGCUUUUUGGCCUGUAACUGACACUGAGGCGCGAAAGCGUGGGGAGCAAACAGGAUUAGAUACCCGCGUAGUCCCUGUCUCUUAUAC